UUAAUUGAAACCAAAAAAAGAGGUAUAUCACUGUUAAUGAUACUAAUGGGCUUUCCCCGCGGCCCCAAUUAAG
rnacentral:tRNA from 1 species